rnacentral:rRNA from 1 species
AAUUCAACCUCCCACCCGUGUUUAUUGUACCUUGUUGCUUCGGCGGGCCCGCCUCACGGCCGCCGGGGGGCAUCUGCCCCCGGGCCCGCGCCCGCCGAAGACACCUUGAACUCUGUAUGAAAAUUGCAGUCUGAGUCUAAAUAUAAAUUAUUUAAAACUUUCAACAACGGAUCUCUUGGUUCCGGCAUCGAUGAAGAACGCAGCGAAAUGCGAUACGUAAUGUGAAUUGCAGAAUUCAGUGAAUCAUCGAGUCUUUGAACGCACAUUGCGCCCCCUGGUAUUCCGGGGGGCAUGCCUGUCCGAGCGUCAUUGCUGCCCUCAAGCCCGGCUUGUGUGUUGGGUCUCGUCCCCCUUCCCGGGGGGACGGGCCCGAAAGGCAGCGGCGGCACCGCGUCCGGUCCUCGAGCGUAUGGGGCUUUGUCACCCGCUCUGUAGGCCCGGCCGG